rnacentral:rRNA from 1 species
GGAUAAUCUGCCCUCAGGUGAGGAAUAAUCCCGGGAAACUGGGGCUAAUGCCUCAUAGGAGACGGGUGCUGGAAUGCUCUGUCUCCGAAAGGUCCGCCGCCUGAGGAUGAGUCUGCGUCCGAUUAGGUUGUUGUUGGGGUAACGGCCCAACAAGCCUUUGAUCGGUACGGGUUGUGGGAGCAAGAGCCCGGAGAUGGAUUCUGAGACAUGAAUCCAGGCCCUACGGGGCGCAGCAGGCGCGAAAACUUUACAAUGCGAGCAAUCGUGAUAAGGAAACCCUGAGUGCCUGUCAAUGCAGGCUGUUCUGGUGUCUAACACACACCAGGAGAAAGGGCGGGGCAAGACCGGUGCCAGCCGCCGCGGUAAUACCGGCUGCUCGAGUGAUAGCCACUUUUACUGGGCUUAAAGCGUUCGUAGCUUGGUCGUUAAGUCUCUGGGGAAAUCUUUUGGCUCAACCAAAAGGCGUCUCAGGGAAACUGACGAUCUUGGAACCGGGAGAGGUAAGACGUACUUCGGGGGUAGGAGUGAAAUCUUGUAAUCCCCGAGGGACGACCGAUGGCGAAGGCAUCUUACCAGAACGGCUUCGACAGUGAGGGACGAAAGCUGGGGAGCAAACCGGAUUAGAUACCCGGGUAGUCCCAGCCGUAAACGAUGUGCGUUAGGUGUGUCAGUGACCACGAGUCGCUGAGGUGCCGAAGGGAAACCGUGAAACGCACCGCCUGGGAAGUACGGUCGCAAGGCUGAAACUUAA